GAUGAACGCUGGCGGCGUGCCUAAUACAUGCAAGUCGAGCGAACAGACGAGGAGCUUGCGCCUCUGACGGUAGCGGCGGACGGGUGAGUAACACGUGGAUAACCUACCUAUAAGACUGGGAGAACAUCGGGAAACAGGAGCUAAUAACGGAUAAUAUAUUGAACCGCAGGGAUCAAUAGUGAAAGACGGUUUUGCUGUCACUAAUAGAUGGCUCCGCGCCGCAUUAGCUAUUUGGUAAGGUAACGGCUUACCAAGGAAACGAUGCGUAGCCGAGCUGAGGGUGUUCUCCGCCACUCUAACACUGACACGCUCCCCAGUCUCCUACGAGGCGCAGCUGUAGGGUAUUGUCCGCUAUGGGCGAAAGCCUGCCAGCGCAACGCCGCGUGUGUGAUGAAGCUCCUCGGAUCGUAAAACUCUUUUAUUAGGAGAGAACAAAUGUGUAAGUAACUAUGCACGCCGUCACUGUACCUAAUCAGAGAGCCACCUCUAUCGACG
rnacentral:rRNA from 1 species